AUGGGGAGGACGGGGUGGGCUAGUUGGACACGAGGGACGGAUGGGCCUGUUCGACAGGCGGCCGGACUGAUUACCUCUGUCGAUUUUUUCUUCCCAAAAUGCCCUCAGGACAUCUAUACUGGAGGACGGGAGCUCACCAGUGCAUGGUCUACCGCUCGCGAGAACUGGAGCAGUAUAUGUCACCACACACCGUACGAUUUCACGAACAGACGGUCAGAAUUUACCCCAGGGUACCAUAAAAGAGCUCAUGAUGAUAGUAGGGGCGAUGGCAUGCUCUCAAACAUGUCCCUUAUUGGCUCCGGGCCAAUACAAGUUUGGGUGGAAUACCAUGGGGAGUCCACACAAAUCAACGUGACCUUAGCACCCCUUGGUGUCACAAAACCAGUGAGGCCAUUACUCUCAACCACCUAUGACCUCUCACCGGUGCUCACAGACCAAGCCUACCUUGGCUUCUCAUCUUCAACAGGUUUAAGCACAGGCCAUCACUAUGUGCUUGGUUGGAGCUUUGGAAUGAACACCCCUGCUCCAUUUAUAGAUACCACCAAACUACCCGGGCUACCUUACCUGGGCCCAAGACCUCAAUCCAAACUCCUAGAGAUAGUUCUGCCGAUAGCUUCCGCGUUGUUUGUGUUAGCUGUCGGCAUUCUAUGUGUUAUAAUGGUGAGGAGACAUAUUAGGUAUAAGGAGGUGCGUGAGGAUUGGGAGGUUGAGUACGGCCCUCGCCGAUUCUCUUACAAGGAUCUGUUUCGUGCCACCAAGGGAUUUAAGGACAAGAAUUUGAUCGGCGUAGGCGGGUUCGGAAGGGUGUACAAAGGGGUUCUAUCGACAUCUAAAUCGGAGGUUGCCGUAAAGAGGGUAUCGUACGACUCGAAGCAGGGCGUAAAGGAAUUCAUCGCUGAAGUCGUAAGCAUUGGCCAUCUUCAACACCGUAAUAUCGUGCAGUUAGUUGGAUAUUGCAGGCGGAAAGGUGAACUUCUCCUAGUAUAUGACUACAUGGCAAAUGGAAGCCUCGACAACCACUUGUAUGGUCAAGAAGGAAAUGCUACUUUAGGGUGGGGGCAAAGAUUCCGGAUUAUCAAAGAGAUCGCGAUGGGUUUGCUCUACCUUCAUGAAGAAUGGGACAAAGUUGUCCUCCAUCGGGAUGUCAAGGCAAGCAACGUGCUUCUUGACAAACAGAUGAAUGGAAGACUAGGAGAUUUCGGUCUCGCGAGGUUGUACGACCAUGGUACCGACCCGCAGACCACACAUGUUGUUGGCACAGUAGGAUACCUAGCUCCAGAGCUGGUACUCAGAGGUAAAGCAACCACUCUCACCGAUGUAUUUGCCUUUGGCAUCUUCAUUCUUGAGGUUACCUGUGGGCAAAUGCCUAUCAAGGAGGACCCACAAGGCAACCAGCUCGUCCUGGUCGAUUGGGUGCUUCAGAACUGGCACAAAGGAUCACUUCUUGAUGUAGUGGAUGCCAAUCUUCAAGGUAGCUAUGACACCAGUGAGGCGUGCCUUGCGCUAAAACUAGGGCUCUUAUGCUCGCACCCAUUUCCCGAAGCAAGGCCCAGCAUGCAGCAAGCUAUGCAGUACCUUGACGGUGACAUGCCACUCCCGAAGCUGCUGCCGGCGUACUUCAGCUUCCACAUGUUGGCCCUGAUGAAGAAUGAAGGCCAAGUUGACUCGUCCACAAUGUUGCCCUAUCCUUCGCCGAUGAUGACGAGCUUUGGCUCAAUAUCAGACUUCUCGGUACAUGGGAGGUGA
rnacentral:rRNA from 1 species